rnacentral:tRNA from 1 species
GCCGAGGUGGCGGAACUGGUAGACGCGGUGCUCUCAAACAGCAUUGAGGUUUUCCUCGUGUGGGUUCGAGUCCCACCCUCGGCACCA